CAACCACAUCAUGUUGAAACACCGGUUCCCAUAUGGUCAUCAAAGUUAAGCAACAUUGAGCUUAGUCAGCACCUAGAUGGGUGACCACUUGGGUAUACCAGGUGCUAUAU